CCAGUUCCAGCAUCUUUGAUUCUCAGCCUCAUCAUCUCUUUCUCUACCAUGGAUAAUGACUGAUGACAGAGCACAACGCCAAUAACUUCCCAAUCAUAUCAUAACAUUGUCAGCCUAUUCUGAGCGGAGCAGCAGCUUAUAUUGAUGGCAAAGUACCUUGUGUCUCGAUAGAUUCUUUCUCUGUUAUCUUCCUCUCCGGAAUGGAAACAGGAAACCCAUUAAUAAUAUUGACAACCAAAGAAAAGCUUUGCUUUGGCUUGAGGGUUUUCCAGAAGCUUGUUGCCUUCACAGAGUGGUCAUUCUUUGUUUCAGGUCAAGAAAGCUUUUGAUUAGAACAGGGCAGUGUUUUAUCUUAAAUGGUUUCAUUUUCUCAGGAAGGUACAAUGAAAUUGCUAAGUGUGGUUUUGCUGCAAUGGAAAGAGA
rnacentral:misc_RNA from 1 species